GAUGAAGAACGCAGCGAAAUGCGAUAAGUAAUGUGAAUUGCAGAAUUCAGUGAAUCAUCGAAUCUUUGAACGCAUCUUGCGCUCCUUGGUAUUCUGAGGAGCAUGCCUGUUUGAGUGUCAUUAAAUUCUCAACUACACUGACUUUGAAUUGGUGUGGCUUGGAUUUGGGGGGAAAAUUGUUGUGGGCUUUUUGUAUAGUCUGCUCCCCUGAAAUUGAUUAGCGGUACCUUUGUGGAACUGUCUACAGGUGUGAUAAUUAUCUACAUCUUAGACAUCUGCUGGAAUGCUGCUUUCUAAACCUUACUUGUAUUGACAAUCUUGACCUCAAAUCAGGUAAGACUACCCGCUGAACUUAAGCAUAUCAAUAAGCGGAGGA
rnacentral:misc_RNA from 1 species